UGGAGCAUGUGGUUUAAUUCGACGCUACGCGAAGAACCUUACCUGGGCUUGAACUGCUGGUGGUAGAAGCCCGAAAGGGUAACGACCCGGAGCAAUCCGGGAGCCAGUAGAGGUGCUGCAUGGCUGUCGUCAGCUCGUGUCGUGAGAUGUUGGGUUAAGUCCCGCAACGAGCGCAACCCUUACCCUUAGUUGCCAGCGGGUAAUGCCGGGCACUCUAAGGGGACCGCCCCGGAUAACGGGGAGGAAGGCGGGGAUGACGUCAAGUCAGCAUGGCCCUUAUGUCCAGGGCUACACACGUGCUACAAUGGGCGAUACAGAGGGAAGCAAGGCCGCAAGGUAGAGCUAAUCCCUAAAGUCGUCCUCAGUUCGGAUUGCAGGCUGCAACUCGCCUGCAUGAAGUCGGAAUCGCUAGUAAUCGCGGAUCAGCUACGCCGCGGUGAAUACGUUCUCGGGCCUU
rnacentral:rRNA from 1 species